rnacentral:rRNA from 1 species
GAUGAACGCUGGCGGCGUGCCUAAUACAUGCAAGUCGAGCGAACGGACGAGAAGCUUGCUUCUCUGAUGUUAGCGGCGGACGGGUGAGUAACACGUGGAUAACCUACCUAUAAGACUGGGAUAACUUCGGGAAACCGGAGCUAAUACCGGAUAAUAUUUUGAACCGCAUGGUUCAAAAGUGAAAGACGGUCUUGCUGUCACUUAUAGAUGGAUCCGCGCUGCAUUAGCUAGUUGGUAAGGUAACGGCUUACCAAGGCAACGAUGCAUAGCCGACCUGAGAGGGUGAUCGGCCACACUGGAACUGAGACACGGUCCAGACUCCUACGGGAGGCAGCAGUAGGGAAUCUUCCGCAAUGGGCGAAAGCCUGACGGAGCAACGCCGCGUGAGUGAUGAAGGUCUUCGGAUCGUAAAACUCUGUUAUUAGGGAAGAACAUAUGUGUAAGUAACUGUGCACAUCUUGACGGUACCUAAUCAGAAAGCCACGGCUAACUACGUGCCAGCAGCCGCGGGUAUACGUAAGUGGCAAGCGUUAUCCGGAAUUAUUGGGCGUAAAGCGCGCGUAGGCGGUUUUUUAGUCUGAUGUGAAAGCCCACGGCUCAACCGUGGAGGGUCAUUGGAAACUGGAAAACUUGAGUGCAGAAGAGGAAAGUGGAAUUCCAUGUGUAGCGGUGAAAUGCGCAGAGAUAUGGAGGAACACCAGUGGCGAAGGCGACUUUCUGGUCUGUAACUGACGCUGAUGUGCGAAAGCGUGGGGAUCAAACAGGAUUAGAUACCCUGGUAGUCCACGCCGUAAACGAUGAGUGCUAAGUGUUAGGGGGUUUCCGCCCCUUAGUGCUGCAGCUAACGCAUUAAGCACUCCGCCUGGGGAGUACGACCGCAAGGUUGAAACUCAAAGGAAUUGACGGGGACCCGCACAAGCGGUGGAGCAUGUGGUUUAAUUCGAAGCAACGCGAAGAACCUUACCAAAUCUUGACAUCCUUUGACAACUCUAGAGAUAGAGCCUUCCCCUUCGGGGGACAAAGUGACAGGUGGUGCAUGGUUGUCGUCAGCUCGUGUCGUGAGAUGUUGGGUUAAGUCCCGCAACGAGCGCAACCCUUAAGCUUAGUUGCCAUCAUUAAGUUGGGCACUCUAAGUUGACUGCCGGUGACAAACCGGAGGAAGGUGGGGAUGACGUCAAAUCAUCAUGCCCCUUAUGAUUUGGGCUACACACGUGCUACAAUGGACAAUACAAAGGGCAGCGAAACCGCGAGGUCAAGCAAAUCCCAUAAAGUUGUUCUCAGUUCGGAUUGUAGUCUGCAACUCGACUACAUGAAGCUGGAAUCGCUAGUAAUCGUAGAUCAGCAUGCUACGGUGAAUACGUUCCCGGGUCU